rnacentral:rRNA from 1 species
UACGGGGGGGGGGCAAGCGUUGUUCGGAAUUACUGGGCGUAAAGGGCUCGUAGGCGGCCAACUAAGUCAGACGUGAAAUCCCUCGGCUUAACCGGGGAACUGCGUCUGAUACUGGAUGGCUUGGAUUUGGGAGAGGGAUGCGGAAUUCCAGGUGUAGCGGUGAAAUGCGUAGAUAUCUGGAGGAACACCGGUGGCGAAGGCGGCAUCCUGGACCAAUAUUGACGCUGAGGAGCGAAAGCCAGGGGAGCCAAACGGG